AGCAACAAAAACUUGCGCCAGAAGCGCUAGUAACUUUCAGUGAAUUGCUGCUGCAGCUGCUUCUGGGUACCCAAGAAAUGUGU